UAUAUAUAUAUAUAUAUAUAUAUAUAUAUAUUAUAUAUAUAAAUAUAUAUAUAUAUAUAUAUAUAUAUAUAUAUAUAUAUAUAUAUAUAUAUAUAUUAUAGAGUCGAUCAGUUCCAGCCUCGAUUUCCCUCAAUCGAUCUCUCAGGUACGCUUUGUUCCCUAUUUUUUGGUUUUUUAUGUUUAAUUUCAUGCUAGAUUCGUUAAAUUUGGUUGAUCGAUAUCAUCUCACGAAUUACGAACCCUAGAUUUGGUGGCUCUUUAUUCUUUUUAUGUAAAAAUCGCUUCUUUUUCUUCAAUCGCUUUCUUCAUCCGCCUCUGCUAUAGGGUUCCCUUUGUGAAGCAUCCAUGUUCCAAUUCUAGAGAUAAUUGCGGUGAACCAUUGGUGACUUCCUAUCACUCGGAGUUCAUGGGAACUUGAUUAUAUAUGGUGAUUGAACUUUUUAAAGUUGUUUCACAUAAUUAAUCUUUAUGCAUAUUAAUUGGUCUGACUUCUCUUUUUGAUUGUACAUGCAUUCUGCAAGUAUUGUUCCAGUAGCAGUUGUCGAGACAUUGCCAAUUAAAAAGUUGAAGAAGUUCGGAAGCCUGCCAAGUGAAAUGAUGACAAUGCAAGCUAAUGUUCUUCAGCUUCUGCACAUAUGCAAAAUGACCACGAGGUCCACGACCAGAUUUUUUUUAUAAAAGAGUGUGUUUUGAUUCACCCAACAGUAAGAAUUCAGGAGAUUUUAAGACCCUACAUAUCUUCAAAUUAUCAUCAAAUACCGUUGAAGAUGAAGUUUUAGGAGACCAAGAGAAGGAGGACGAAGAAAGCUUAAAUCAAGAGAAUCAAUCAUUCUCUUGAUUCCAAAAAACUUAUAUGUUGUCUGUAUAAGUUUAUGAUUCCUUAUUUGUUAUUCUUCUUAUUGCAGAAAUGGGGAAGUGAUCAUCUUUCUUUGGUUUGCGAAUUCGCUUUUGUAGAUGAUGGCAGUGCAAGCUAAUGUUCUUCAGCUUCUGCACAUAUGCAAAAUGACCAUGAGGUCCACGACCAGCAAAUGUUGAAUGGGCCUGGGAAGAUCCGAUAUAGUCAGGAAGCUAGUAAUGGAGGUGUGGUAGAGAGUGACCGAGCAUCGAAAGGGCAUCAACCACCUGAUUAGCUUCUCUGACACAGUGGUGCAUAGGAACAUCGCCAAGGUGUCGAUGCAUGGCUUGCCAAGGGCAGAGGAUCGCUUCCAGUGUGGGCACGAAUGAUCGACCGAUGCUUUUGGCUAGGCUCAUGGAGUCAGUGCAGGCUAUUGUGAGAUGGAGGUUCAUCUCAUCAACGAGUUCAGCCCCCGUUGCAAAGGACUUGCAUUUCUCCUUGAAAACUGGUACCAUAAUCCCUAGGUCUUGCAGGGUGAUGUCAAUAGUUUGCAAGGAGCCAAUCCCAUACUUGGAAGAGUACAUCAUUGGUUUGACAAGGUGAACCAUGUGCCAUGUGCUGAAGUAUGUAGUUGUUUAGCACAUGUUCUUGCUUUAUGCAUAUUGAUUUGUGACACUUAUACGUGCUACCUAAGUCUAAUAUCAGUUACCUCUCACCACUUACAUUUGAGUCACAAGGUUGUUAAAAAGGAAAAAUUGGCUAAGUGUACGGUUUAUGUUUUGCACAUGUUGAAGUCGGUUUAGAUGGGUGCAUGACCAAUUUUUUUGAUGAUGAUUAUGCAUUAU